rnacentral:rRNA from 1 species
CGCAGCCGCGGUAAUUCCAGCUCCAAUAGCGUAUAUUAAAGUUGUUGCAGUUAAAAAGCUCGUAGUUGAAUUUCGGGAUCAAUAUAUCGGUCGUGCCUCCGGUAUGCACUGGUAUUAUUGAUUUCUACCUUCUGACGAAUCAUGAUGUCAUUAAUUUGGUGUCAUGGGGAAUCAGGACUGUUACUUUGAAAAAUUAGAGUGUUUAAAGCAGGCACACGCUUGAAUACAUUAGCAUGGAAUAAUGAAAUAGGACGUUUGACCCUAUUUUGUUGGUUUCUAGGAUCGACGUAAUGAUUAAUAGGGAUAGUUGGGGGCAUUAGUAUUCAAUUGUCAGAGGUGAAAUUCUUGGAUUUAUUGAAGACUAACUACUGCGAAAGCAUUUGCCAAGGAUGUUUUCAUUAAUCAAGAACGAAAGUUAGGGGAUCGAAGACGAUCAGAUACCGUCGUAGUCUUAACCAUAAACUAUGCCGACUAGGGAUCGGAUGAUGUUAAUUUUAAUGA